rnacentral:rRNA from 1 species
AGGGUUUGAUUAUGGCUCAGGAUGAACGCUAGCUACAGGCUUAACACAUGCAAGUCGAGGGGCAGCAUGACCUAGCAAUAGGUUGAUGGCGACCGGCGCACGGGUGAGUAACACGUAUCCAACCUACCGGUUAUUCCGGGAUAGCCUUUCGAAAGAAAGAUUAAUACCGGAUAGUAUAACGAGAAGGCAUCUUCUUGUUAUUAAAGAAUUUCGAUAACCGAUGGGGAUGCGUUCCAUUAGUUUGUUGGCGGGGUAACGGCCCACCAAGACAUCGAUGGAUAGGGGUUCUGAGAGGAAGGUCCCCCACAUUGGAACUGAGACACGGUCCAA